AUAUUUAGCUGGCAGGGGAGAGACCUUGAUCACAGAGGUGGUUUUCCCAGGGCGAGGCUUAUCCAUUGCACGCGGGAUGUGCUGACCCCUGCGAUUUCCCCAAACUUGGGGAACUCUGCUGCAAAACUUAUGGUGGUGGGGGACUGUGUUCCUGCUCUCCCCUG